UAAAGAGCCUCGGUUGGCCCAAAAAAAGUCAAAAAACUGAAACUUACCAGCGGCGGAAUUCUCUGGUGCGGCGGCUCCGCUGACUCACUUUCGCGGUUGGGUGUUUUGCUUCGGUCAACCUUUUUUGGUGGUCGAAAAUGGCUUCGACACGGCGACGGGUGACUUCCUUCCCGGCGGCUGGCUCUUCUUCUUUAGCGGGGGUGUCUGGCGACUAGGGUUAGGGUUUGAUGUGAAGAGGAUUAUUUAUAUCCAUCUUCUUUUAAUCUAGACUG
rnacentral:lncRNA from 1 species